CUGACGAGUCCUGCAGCCCCACAACACAAGCUGAGAGAGGCCACCGCUCUGGUAGACGAGAUCAGGACGCCGGAGAAGCCUGCAAAGGAGCCAGCACCGGCCGCGAAGCAGAUCACGGCGCCGGAUAAGCCAGAGGAGAUGCUGAGAGCUCAGCAUAUGCUGACCACUCUGGUGGACGAGGUCCGGCCACUGGAGAAGCCAGAGGAGACGCCGAAGAACACCUCCGCAGGAUGUUCAACUCCAUCCUACCCCGCCAAGAAUGUUGAUGCCGAGCGCUCCGCCUGUUCCGCUCCCGCGCCGCCAACGAGCACCGCCGAGCUCCUCCCUGGCGCCACGUCCCGACAGACAUCGGCGCCGAGCGGCUGGCUCCACCGUGCCGAGGUGCUCCCCCAUGCCCCUACCCCCUAGGCCAAGCGGUUGAGCUCCGCCUCGCUCCUAGCGUUCGUAUCUAGACCGUGUGGACUCUUCUGUCCUAAUCUACUAACGAUAUUUUUACAAAACAUUCUUUGCUUCUCUACGCAUUCGGGCCUGUCAUCUACAGAUAGUAGCAUCUUCCUAUAGUAAUAUUUAAUCAUAAAAAAUAAUUAAUGAACUCUUCAGCAUUGUGGUUUAGGUCAAUAUAUCAAACAAGAUAAAUCCUAUAUAAUAGCAUCACGUUCCAUCACCAUAUUAAACUAACAAUUUUAUUUUUUUAUCAUCAUGUGACAUUACCCAGUUGACCAAAUAGGUCUGUCGGAAAGAGGAGCAUUUGCUGCUUCUUGGCUUGCAAAAGGCAUCCUGACCUACAUCCACCCAGCAUAAAAACGUGUAUUGGUCAUAUCAUCGAGCAAAUAGGUGAUACGAUGCUUUAUGUCUUAUUCUUACAUGCAUCUGAGUCUUAUGGUUUCUUCAGUUUUCUUCUUUCUUUAUUUCUUAAUGUUUUUUUGUGAAGUUACGUCCAAAAAUUGACAGAAGGAAUAGCUCAUACACACUUGAUAAUACACUUUCUUCUUUUUAUCAGCAUACUUUUCAGUCCAUUCUAAGUUCUAACGUUGUCACUUUCCAAAUUCUGUUGUCACUUAUAAAACUUGCACGUUGAUAUUUGAUUUAGUAUCAGUACAAUUUAUAUGGAGGCAUAUAUUUAGAUGAAACUUGAUAUUUGAUUUUGUAUCGGUACAAUUUAUAUGGAGGCAUAUGUUUAGAUGAAACUUGCUGAAGCAUUGUUCAAUAUUCAUCACAACUUCAGGAAUAAUAACAACGACACCAUGUGGACCAUUA